CAGUAGCCGCGGGAAUACGUAGGGUGCAAGCGUUAAUCGGAAUUACUGGGCGUAAAGCGUGCGCAGGCGGUUUGUUAAGACAGAUGUGAAAUCCCCGGGCUUAACCUGGGAACUACAUUUGUGACUGGCAAGCUAGAGUAUGGCAGAGGGGGGUGGAAUUCCGCGUGUAGCAGUGAAAUGCGUAGAUAUGCGGAGGAACACCGAUGGCGAAGGCAGCCCCCUGGGCCAAUACUGACGCUCAUGCACGAAAGCGUGGGGAGCAAACAGGAUUAGAUACCCCCGUAGUCCCUGUCUCUUAUAC
rnacentral:rRNA from 1 species